GCGCAGCAGGCGAGAAUACUUACAAUGUGCGAAGCACGAUAAGGGAACUCUGAGUGCCUCCUAAGGAGGCUGUUCAGGUGUCUAAAAGACACCUGGAGUAAGGGCUGGGUAAGACCGGUGCCAGCCGCCGCGGUAACACCGGCAGCCCAGGUGGUAGCCACUUUUAUUGGGUCUAAAGCGUCCGUAGCCGGUUGAGUAAGUUCCUUGGGAAAUUUGGCUGCUCAACAGUCAAGCUUCCAGGGGAAUACUGCUCGACUUGGGGACUGGGAGAGGUCAGAGGUACUCCAGGGGUAGGGUGAAAAUCCAUUAAUCCCGU
rnacentral:rRNA from 1 species